GUUUGAUCAUGGCUCAGAGCGAACGUUUGCGGCGGGCUUAACACAUGCAAGUCGAACGAGAAUCCCUUCGGGGAGGAAAGUGGCGCACGGGUGCGUAACACGUGGAUAACCAACCCAUUGGUUUGGGACAACACCGGGAAACUGGUGCUAAUACCAGAUGUGUCGCAGCUGUCUUCAGGCGGUUGCGAGAAAGGCCCGCAAGGGUCGCCAACGGACGGGUCCGCGUCCCAUCAGCUAGUUGGUGAGGUAAUGGCUCACCAAGGCAAAGACGGGUAGCUGGUCUGAGAGGAUGAUCAGCCACACUGGAACUGAGACACGGUCCAGACUCCUACGGGAGGCAGCAGUGGGGAAUAUUGCGCAAUGGGCGAAAGCCUGACGCAGCCACGCCGCGUGAGCGAUGAAGGUCUUCGGAUCGUAAAGCUCUGUGGGGGGAGAAGGAGAAAGCCGGUGAAGAGCCGGCCCUGACGGUAUCCCCUUAGCAAGCACCGGCUAACUCCGUG
rnacentral:rRNA from 1 species